rnacentral:rRNA from 1 species
AGUGAACGUUGGCGGCGUGGAUUAGGCAUGCAAGUCGAGCGAGAACCGUAGCAAUACGGGGACAGCGGCGAAAGGGACAGUAAUGUGUAGGUACCUACCUCCGGGUUCGGGAUAGCUGCGGGAAACUGCAGGUAAUACCGAAUAAUGUCUCCGGACCAAAGGUGUGAUUCCACCUGGAGAGGGGCCUGCAUCCUAUUAGCUUGUUGGCGGGGUAACGGCCCACCAAGGCGACGAUGGGUAGCGGGUGUGAGAGCACGACCCGCGUCAUUGGGACUGAGACACUGCCCAGACACCUACGGGUGGCUG